UAAGGAGAGGAAACAAGCUCUGGACCACCAUGGGGAGGAGGAUGGAAUCGCAUAUGAAGGAUAAGAGAGUUUGCCAGCUCCUAGAGAUAUAUGUAUGAGAACAUGUAGAUUAUGUAUAUAACCCCACUAAGGCUGGCAAAAGAUAGUAGGUAACCUCUUAUCUUAGGGUUUCUAUUGCUGCAGUGAAACAUCAUGACCAAAAGCAAGUUGAGGAGGGGAAGGAUUUUGGGGGCCUUUUGUUUGUUUUGUUUGAUUUUUCUACCUUGUAGUCCAUCAUUGAAGGAAGUCAGGACAGGAAGUCAAACAGGGCAUGAACAUGGAAACAGGAGCUGAUGUAGAGGCUAUUGAGAGGUGCUGCUUACUGGCUUGUUCAACAUGACUUGCUCAGCCUGCUUUCUUAUAAACUCUAGGACCACUACCAAAGAUGGAACUAUCCACAAUGGGCUGGGCCCUACCCAGUUAGUCACUACUUAAGAAACCCCCCUGUAACCAGAUCUUAUGGAAGCAUUUUCUCAAUUU
rnacentral:lncRNA from 1 species